CCCCUAGACGUUCUGGGCUGCACGCGCGCUACAAUAAUACGCACAGCGAGUAUCACCGAGCUCGAAAGGGCAAGGUAAACAAUAGAAAAGGUACUGUAAUGGUUAUAGAUCCUUGUAAUUAUUGAUCUUCAACGAGGAAUUCCUAGUAAGUAUGUGUCAUCAUCACGCACUGAUUACGUCCCUGCCCUUUGUACACACCGCCCGUCGCUCCUACCGAUGGGGUGAGCCGAUGAAACUCUCGGAUGUAGGCUAUUCAUAGCCCGCAGAAGAGAUUUGAAUCGUAGCGCUUAGAGGAAGGAGAAGUCGUAACA
rnacentral:rRNA from 1 species